UUUAUCGGAGAGUUUGAUCCUGGCUCAGGACGAACGCUGGCGGCGUGCCUAAUACAUGCAAGUCGAGCGGACAGAUGGGAGCUUGCUCCCUGAUGUUAGCGGCGGACGGGUGAGUAACACGUGGGUAACCUGCCUGUAAGACUGGGAUAACUCCGGGAAACCGGGGCUAAUACCGGAUGGUUGUUUGAACCGCAUGGUUCAGACAUAAAAGGUGGCUUCGGCUACCACUUACAGAUGGACCCGCGGCGCAUUAGCUAGUUGGUGAGGUAACGGCUCACCAAGGCGACGAUGCGUAGCCGACCUGAGAGGGUGAUCGGCCACACUGGGACUGAGACACGGCCCAGACUCCUACGGGAGGCAGCAGUAGGGAAUCUUCCGCAAUGGACGAAAGUCUGACGGAGCAACGCCGCGUGAGUGAUGAAGGUUUUCGGAUCGUAAAGCUCUGUUGUUAGGGAAGAACAAGUGCCGUUCAAAUAGGGCGGCACCUUGACGGUACCUAACCAGAAAGCCACGGCUAACUACGUGCCAGCAGCCGCGGUAAUACGUAGGUGGCAAGCGUUGUCCGGAAUUAUUGGGCGUAAAGGGCUCGCAGGCGGUUUCUUAAGUCUGAUGUGAAAGCCCCCGGCUCAACCGGGGAGGGUCAUUGGAAACUGGGGAACUUGAGUGCAGAAGAGGAGAGUGGAAUUCCACGUGUAGCGGUGAAAUGCGUAGAGAUGUGGAGGAACACCAGUGGCGAAGGCGACUCUCUGGUCUGUAACUGACGCUGAGGAGCGAAAGCGUGGGGAGCGAACAGGAUUAGAUACCCUGGUAGUCCACGCCGUAAACGAUGAGUGCUAAGUGUUAGGGGGUUUCCGCCCCUUAGUGCUGCAGCUAACGCAUUAAGCACUCCGCCUGGGGAGUACGGUCGCAAGACUGAAACUCAAAGGAAUUGACGGGGGCCCGCACAAGCGGUGGAGCAUGUGGUUUAAUUCGAAGCAACGCGAAGAACCUUACCAGGUCUUGACAUCCUCUGACAAUCCUAGAGAUAGGACGUCCCCUUCGGGGGCAGAGUGACAGGUGGUGCAUGGUUGUCGUCAGCUCGUGUCGUGAGAUGUUGGGUUAAGUCCCGCAACG
rnacentral:rRNA from 1 species